GGCCACUGCUAUCGGGGCCCGACUAAGCCAUGCGAGUCAAGGGGCUCCCUUCGGGGAGCACCGGCGCACGGCUCAGUAACACGUGGCUAACCUACCCUCGGGUGGGGGAUAACCUCGGGAAACUGAGGCUAAUCCCCCAUAGGGGAGGAGGUCUGGAAUGAUCCCUCCCCGAAAGGCGUAAGCCGCCCGAGGAUGGGGCUGCGGCGGAUUAGGUAGUUGGUGGGGUAACGGCCCACCAAGCCUACGAUCCGUACGGGCCCUGAGAGGGGGAGCCCGGAGAUGGACACUGAGACACGGGUCCAGGCCCUACGGGGCGCAGCAGGCGCGAAACCUCCGCAAUGCGCGAAAGCGCGACGGGGGGACCCCGAGUGCCCACGCUCUGCGUGGGCUUUUCCGGAGUGUAAACAGCUCCGGGAAUAAGGGCUGGGCAAGUCCGGUGCCAGCAGCCGCGGUAAUACCGGCGGCCCAAGUGGUGGCCACUGUUAUUGGGCCUAAAGCGUCCGUAGCCGGCCCGGUAAGUCUCUGCUUAAAUCUUGCGGCUCAACCGCAGGGCUGGCAGAGAUACUGCCGGGCUUGGGACCGGGAGAGGCCGGGGGUACCCCAGGGGUAGCGGUGAAAUGCGUUGAUCCCUGGGGGACCACCUGUGGCGAAGGCGCCCGGCUGGAACGGGUCCGACGGUGAGGGACGAAGGCCAGGGGAGCAAACCGGAUUAGAUACCCGGGUAGUCCUGGCUGUAAACUCUGCGGACUAGGUGUCGCGUCGGCUUCGGGCCGACGCGGUGCCGAAGGGAAGCCGUUAAGUCCGCCGCCUGGGGAGUACGGUCGCAAGACUGAAACUUAAAGGAAUUGGCGGCCCCCCAAAAGGCACGGGUGGAGCCUGCGGUUU
rnacentral:rRNA from 1 species